UGGGGAAUAUUGGACAAUGGGGGCAACCCUGAUCCAGCGAUGCCGCGUGUGUGAAGAAGGCCUGAGGGUUGUAAAGCACUUUAGAUGUUGAAGAAGUUGUUGGGUUGAAUAUACCAAACAAUUGACGGUAAACAGCGAAUAAGCACCGGCUAACUCUGUGCCAGCAGCCGCGGUAAUACAGAGGGUGCAAGCGUUAAUCGGAAUGACUGGGCGUAAAGGGCGCGUAGGUGGAUGCAUGAGUAAAUUGUGAAAGGCCCGGGCUUAACCUGGGCAGGUCAAUUUAAACGGUGCGUCUAGAGUGGAGUAGAGGGAAGUAGAAUUUCCGGUGUAGCGGUGAAAUGCGUAGAUAUCGGAAGGAAUACCGGUGGCGAAGGCGUCUUCCUGGACUCUAACUGACACUGAGGCGCGAAAGCAUGGGGAUCAAACAGGAUUAGAUACCCAAGUAGUCCCUGAGCGGGCUGGCAAGGCGCAU
rnacentral:rRNA from 1 species